GACGUAGGGCGCGAGCGUUGUCCGGAUUUAUUGGGCGUAAAGAGCUCGUAGGCGGCUUGUCGCGUCGACUGUGAAAUCCCGCGGCUCAACCGCGGGUCUGCAGUCGAUACGGGCAGGCUAGAGUUCGGUAGGGGAGACUGGAAUUCCUGGUGUAGCGGUGAAAUGCGCAGAUAUCAGGAGGAACACCGAUGGCGAAGGCAGGUCUCUGGGCUGACACUGACGCUCAUGCACGAAAGCGUGGGGAGCAAACAGG
rnacentral:rRNA from 1 species